CGGGCCUGACGCCGCGGCUGUCGCCGGAGGCCUCGGAGAAUGACUGUUUUGUAUGGACACUGGCCAUUGAUGUGGCUUUUGUCCUUGACAGCUGAUACUGGAGCCUGCUCUGUGCCUUCUGAGCUGACUCGUCAGUCUUCUGCAGGUGUAUUUUAAAGAGAAGCUAGCAAACGACAGGCUCCAGGGAGCAGUGUU